AACAAAUGAAAAGUAGUUUGCAGAUUCUUGUAAGCUCCACUAAAACAACUAUAUAAAGUAUGCCAACUCCAUUAUUCAUUUACAUACAACUAAAACACAUACAAACCUACUUUGUAAAAAAAUAUCCUCACAUACUUGAAAUAAUUCAAUACUUUAGUAAUGGAGAGUUUGAAGCUUGCCUCAGUACUUACCAUUGUUUUAAUGGUUCUUGUGGCUUGCUCCAGCGUUGGAUUCACGGCCGCCCUUGAAGAUGUUGGAGCUCCUGCACCAUCACCAACAAUAGAGAGUUCUAGCGUAACAUUGCUUGUUCCUGCUGCACUCGUUGCCAUCACUUCCCUAGUUACCUUUUUUGUUUAAUUAUUCACUGUACUUAAAACAUUUGAUCUCCGUGUUUUGUUAUACUUCUUAUAAUUCUUUAUCUGUACUCUGUAAGCUUUGAUGGUUAUUGAGGAUUGAAGUGCUAGAGACUAUUAUCUGAAUCUCAAAGAUGAGUUAAUCGAGGUCAGUUUGUGCAUGUGGGUGAAACAGUAAAUGAAGUGAUUUUAUUUGCACAUGCAACUCAAAUAUAGAGUAAAGAGGUGGCAUUUUGUGCAUGGCAUUAAAUCAUUCAACUCAAUUUUUGUAGUGAAUUUCCUAUACAUAAUCACGGAUAGAAGAAAGGCAAA
rnacentral:lncRNA from 1 species